rnacentral:lncRNA from 1 species
UGAACCGACACACCACUUGUGUUGAAUACAAAACAAGCUAAGAGCACCAGGCUUCCAGGUUUUCCCCCGUUCGCUAUCAUCUCCUGUGAUAUUCAAAAAGAACCACAGAAUGAGGUCUCUCCCUUAUGAACACAACGCAAAUGAGACACAAUAUACAAGUGAGAAAGAUUCAGGGUAGAUAAACACUUUGCACCACUCACUUGGUAAUACUCCACAACAGUUUAAGCAAUCAUAAUAUUGACCAAACCAGAAUUACAAAAAACAAAGCUAUGUUCUGGAACCCAUUCAUCAUCAUCUAAGCAAUAACAAAUUGCACAACACCUACACUACUCAUUCCUUGGUAAAAGGACCAAAUAUCUUCAUCUAGUCCAAGUAGACAGUAGCAAGGAUUAUUUAUAGCAAUCCUAAAUAAAUUGUUGCAAUUCCCAAAUUCUGGCAUCAACGUAGAUAACCAUGACCAUCACAUCAAGUUGUUAAACAUAUCAGAGGAACAGUAACCCUAGAAACUGGAAUUUUUUAGAGAAUUGACCUAGAACGGAAGAAUGGGUACAAUUACACCAUCCAGAAGCCAUAGCAAGCAAUAAUUAACACUUAGCAAGUGCUAAUUGACUUUGAACAGUAGCCAAUUGAGCUAAAUGAGCUCAAACGGUACAAAACCCGAACCCUAGAACACCAAUGGCUCAAUGGCUAUGAAUCAGAGCAUGGUACAGCUGUGCGGGCCAUGAAUCAGAGCAUGGUAUAGCUGUGGCACGAUGGCCACAAGUUCAAAGCAGAGAGAAGGGGGUCAGAGGAGGAAGGAGGGAAUGACCUCACCAGUUCCAUGUUUCGCUCACGCCAACAGUCUUCUUGUUUGGGAGCGCUCAGCACUUUGGAAGAUCAAACUUCCUGCGAUGGUGGCUAUUCCCACCAUCUCCAGUAUCCCCUCCAGUUCCUCCAGCAUCCUCACCACGAAGUCAGGUCCCAGGGUGGACAGAAACAAGAUUAAUGACCAAUAAUACAGUAACAGAAUGAUGAUAGGGAGCAACCCAUAAGGGACAAUUUAUGCCAAGCAAACAUUAGUUUCGCCAGCUAUUUCAAGUUUGGACAACACCAAGAGCUCUGAACACAAAUAUAGCUAAUGAACCGGCCUGCACUUACUGCUACCGGAGCAUAAUUUCUGUUGGCAAGCUCCUAGAGGAGCAAAGGCGGGACGAUAAAAAAUAUUCAAUUAUCAGGGGAACACAUACAAAGGAACCCACUCCAAUAUUUUUGCCCGGCCUUCCGCAAGAUAAAAAAAUGAUCUUCCCCAUGCCCGUCCUAGAAGCAACCAAGUUCGUUCCAGUACCACAGUUCUCAUCUAAUUCUAGCAACCAGAAGAUAAAAGCAAGUGCAAUAUCAUAUUCUUGACAGUUAAAACCUAAACCAAAACCAUGGUGGUGCCAAAUCUAAGAGCAAGGGUAUAUUAAAUAACAAAAAAAGCUAAUCUACUAUCUAGUACUCCCUCCGAUCCAAAAUAAGUGUCGUGGUUUUAGUUGAAAUUAAUUUGGAUCGAAGUUAGUAUAAUUUAUGAACUGCACCGUACGGACUCUCAGAUCACAUAUAGCAUACCUAUGACUAAAAUCAAAAUGGAUAAAACACAACCAAAGACCAAACAUGAUGCUAAGCAACACAGAACUAUCAGACCAAUUUCAUUGAAAAGAAAGAUCAUCACAAUCAUUGUGGUGGCCAGAAGACCACUACAACAAAUCCGAACACUAAAUCAUAGGCUCGAUGGCCAGCAUAAUAGAAGUUGAUAACUUUUAUUGUUUUGUUACUUAUUCAUCAAAAAGAGCCACACCAAUUUAAAUAUCUUAAAGGUACACAGAAUUGUAUAUGACCUUUAUUCAUUUCAAGUGGGCGCACAGAGCAUUAGAGGGAGCAAAGGAGAGGAACCGGCGGCUUACCUAUGUUCACGGCAGUACUCUCCUCGUUUGGGAUCGUUAUGCCCUCUCAAAGAUUAAACUUCCAGCGAUGGCAGUUGUGGGUCAACGAUCUCCAGUAACCCCUCCAGUUCCUCUAGCCCCAUCCUCACCAUUAAGUCAGGUUCCUGGGUGGACAGGAAGAAGAUUAAUGAAUGGCCAAGUAAUAAUGUACUACCUCUGAUCCGGAGGGAGUAACAAAAUGAUGACAAGGAGCUGUAAAGGACAAUUAUGCAAAGCAACAUUUAUUUUCUGAGUAUUUUGAGUUUGGAGAAGAGAAAGCGAUAUAUGAACACAACAGCUAAUGAACAGGUGUGUACUCCUAGAUGAGCAUCAUUCCUAUUGACAAGCUCCUAGAGAGGACCCCAAAAAAUGUUUAUUUAUCAGGGGACUGGGUCGUUUUUUUUAUUCUAAGACUGCAUCUUUCUUUUACUAUAUUCAAUAAAUUACAUGACCUUUGAAAUGUUUAGGCACUUGAUAUAGCAUUACCAGGGAAAUCAUUCGUCAAAAAAAGGUACACAAGGUUGGAUUCGGCCACUUGUUGAUCAACUAAAGAUUCAUUUAACCAUAAGCAUCUCUCAAGUCCUACUUGGAGACAAGCAACAGUGCCUAAUGUAAUAUUCCCAUCAAGCGUGGCCUCCUAAUGAAUCCAGGAGGAUACUACUGACAAGUGAGUUCAAAUAUUACAUUACUCAAGUCAGAUCAAUUUUAUCUCUAUAUCUGAGGAGUGUCAUGCAUAUUAUCUAAUAUCCAAUGACUCUGCAGUCAUUCAAGAGAGCACACAUACAUGCACAUUAAUACAAGAACAGACACUGGAUAGCAUGUUUAUCUUUCUAGUGUGUGCUUUCAUAUUUGUGUCAAUGAUUAAUUAAUUAUGACUAACUGAUACUAGUACCAAUAUUCAGUGAAGCCAACAGAGUUUGGUUUAUAUAGUACCUUGGAUGUUCUUCAUGAGUCGAGGUCGAUCGUGGAGGCCACCGGGCAGAGCAUGCC